rnacentral:tRNA from 1 species
CGGGGCAUGGCGCAGUCCGGUAGCGCACACCUUUCGGGAGGGUGGGGUCGCUGGUUCAAAUCCAGUUGCCCCGA